CUGACAUUUGCACCCAGGCCAUCUAGGUCCAGAGUCCACGUACUUAACCACUCCUCUCAUUGAAGCUGAUGUUGUAGAUUAAAAUUUAUUGACAUGGGAAAGUAGUGUUCCCAAUGUAUUGCUAAGUGAAAAAGCAGGCAGGAAGAAAGGAAGAUCUGGAAAAGCAUUCACCAUCUGUCAAAAGAGGUUAUUUCUGGUUGGUGGGAUAAUAUUAUUUUUGUUGUUUUCUUCUUAUAUAUGUUUUCCAGGUUUUCUGUUCUGAAUGCUUAUUAUCUUUAUAAUAGAAAUGAAACUUAUGAAAAGAUGACUUUUCUCCUUAGUCCUCCCAUUCCUUGCUGCCUCUAAAGACAAUUAGUUUUUCAUGAUGAUAAUAAAAUUAAUGAUGAUAAUAAUAGCCAACAUUUAACGAGCUUUUUGUAUGCUAAAGAACUGACAAGCGUGAUUCCAUUUAAGCACUGGCCACUCCAGAAAGGACCACUCACAUAUGGUCUACAUUAUCGAUGGGGCUGUGAACGAUGCUGCUUGGAGCCGUGCAACAAGCCACCUGUCAACACCCUGCAGGAGGGGAGCUGCAUGAGGCAUGACAAAGAAGACAAAGUAAGCUCUGGACACCUAGACAAAGACCACAGAAACAACAGAGGUGUUGUGGCAACAUGAGAAGAGCACUGGCCUGAGAGAUCAUCCCGGGACAACUGGAAUGACAUCAGAUUCGUAGUGGACAUCUGCUGUUUUGAUCUGCCGUGCAUUGAUCUUCUGAUAACAGAAUUCCACUUUUCCUUUGGGGAACCACCCUAACCCCUUCC
rnacentral:lncRNA from 1 species